UGGAAUUUUAAACAACAUGUAUACAAGUAUUUCUUUUAUUGUAGCAUUGAUGCAGGGAUAAAACUAACAACUACUGGUGGAUGAAAAAGAUAGCCCUACAGAUUCAGACCCUUUUGAUGUGGUCAGCUGUGUCAGUGAUAGUGAUAUGGACAACUGUGUCAGUGAUAGUGAUGUGGACAGUUGUGUCAGUGAUAGUAUGUUGACAGCUGUGUCAGUGAUAGUGAUGUGGACAGCUGUGUCACUGAUAGUGAUGUUGGCAGCUUUGUCAGUGAUAGUGAAUUAUCAGAUACUCAACUAUCCCAAUAUGAUCCACUAUCCCAAGAUGCUGUAGUUCCAGAUACAGAUCAGUUCAAGUUGUACCAUCGAAUGCAGUUAAAAUUAUGGAUACUCUUCUGCUCAGGGAAUCCAUUGAUGGAACAGAUACACAGAAGAAACAGAAAUUGAAUGCCUUCCGUAAAGACUUGGCACAGAAUGUUAGCUUGCUGCAUCAUGCAGAAAAACACACUGGUGAAAUGUAUGUUUGUGAUUCGUGUGAGAACAAUUUUGCAAAAUAAAUAUUACUGGAGGACUUCACUAAAAGCCAGCACAUAGUGCAUCAAACUACCACACCAGUCUCUGCACUGCACAGAUCUGACCAUAUUCUAGCUGCUUCUGAAAGAACCACAACAACACCAGUGCUGACUAAUAACACAUCUGAACAUGGUGCAGCUAAUGAAAAUACCAGUACCAAACCAGAGUCAACAUGGAGCAGAUCUGAACAUAUUGAUGUUGCUCCUGAGAGAACAAGUAUCAUUACCACACAGAAAAAAGCAGCGGAAGUAGAAACCUUACGUUCUAUCAAAUCAUGUCAUAAUGUUGAUGUGUGAAGUUUCCUCCGACAUUUACCUUGUGAUCAAAAGCAUUGAGGUUACCGAUAUAGCCUUCAUGGUCUUCUUCUUCCUUUAUUCAAAGAGCCAUAAUGGAAGUCAUUCCCAAUCCUGACCUGUUUGGUCUCCUUAAUCCACUGGUCUCCUAAAUCUAUAUAUUUACAUGAGUGGUCUCCUUAAUGCAAUUUUUAUAUAUAUCCUAAAGAAAUGAAAAGAAAUGCUUGUAUACGUUAUACGUUUUAAUGUCUUUUUAUUAGCAUUCAUUAUUUUGCAAAUAAGUAAACAUGGCCACUAGGGGUCAAGCUUGUUUUCUUCAUAUGUCUUAUAUCUACGAAUCUUUUUUCUUGUGUGAAACUGUUUGCAUUAUUUCUGAAAUAAUAUUUUAUUGAUUCACAGGUAACUCUGGUCACCUUAGCAGUAAGAAAACCUUUUUCUCUCAUAAUAUCUACUCAGGUGAGUGAUAUAGUUGUCAUUGCCUUUUGUUCAUGUGUAGACACAAAUUCUAGUUAAACUUUCUUUCUUAAUUGCAGAAACCAGACAGAUGCUGCACAUUUUGCAAAAAGAGUAUAAAAGGUUGUUAGUUAAAAGUUCAUAUAAAAAAAAAGCACACACAAAAAAUAAAGGAUAUAUUAUCACUGCCAGAGUCAUUGGCAAAUGCUCAUUUUGAAAAAUUGCGGAAAUUCACGAUUACAACAAAAUGUUAAUGGCAAAUAAUCAAGAACCUAAAAUGGGGGAAUGUAUGCCUGUGAAGGAGGAUAACCCGAGAGUUUGUAAUAAAUGCAAUGGGUAUUUUUCAAACACACGUGUGUUGUUUUGAAACCCACUCCUUUGAAGUCCAAAUUAAUAUUCUCUGCAAAAGAAAAUCAGAAAAUAAAGGAGGAUAGACAUUCUGAAUCGGUUUCAAGAUGAUAAAAUUGGAGAUAUCUGUAGGACAAAUGAAACAAUUAUGAUGAUUGAUUACAUACAUUUCAGUUUAAGAAGGCAUGAGCAUGGAAAAGAAGACGAGGUGAGAAAAGUAGUAAUGACUGAAAUGCAUACCCUUGCAAGGCUUUAUUUAGAAUUUAAAGUAAUAUGUGGUGAAAAGUCAGUUGAAAAGAUGUUGCCAAGAGAUAUUAUAGAGGAUUUGUGUGAAGCAGUUAGAGCACUGACCAAAAGUGAUGAACAGUCUGAAAAACACUGACUAAAACUACAUCUGAAUGUUGUAAUGUUAAGGUCAAUUAAAGCACUGAAGGGACAUUAUUCUGAAACCAAGCAGGAUGCAAAAACAAGGAAGAAUUGAAGCACUUCAAAGAUGCCUAUGAACAUAGAUCCAAAGCGUUGUAUCCUAAAGCUAGGAAA
rnacentral:lncRNA from 1 species